AUCUUGCGCAAUGGGCGAAAGCCUGACGCAGCCAUGCCGCGUGAAUGAUGAAGGUCUUAGGAUUGUAAAAUUCUUUCACCGGGGAAGAUAAUGACGGUACCCGGAGAAGAAGCCCCGGCUAACUUCGUGCCAGCAGCCGCGGUAAUACGAAGGGGGCUAGCGUUGCUCGGAAUUACUGGGCGUAAAGGGCGCGUAGGCGGACAGUUUAGUCAGAGGUAAAAGCCCAGGGCUCAACCUUGGAACUGCCUUUGAUACUGGCUGUCUUGAGUUCGGGAGAGGUGAGUGGAAUGCCGAGUGUAGAGGUGAAAUUCGUAGAUAUUCGGCGGAACACCAGUGGCGAAGGCGACUCGCUGGACAAGUAUUGACGCUGAGGUGCGAAAGCGUGGGGAGCAAACAGG
rnacentral:rRNA from 1 species